AACCCAGGUCUCCUGGCUCCAAAGUCUAAGUUCUUCCCCCUUGGGAGCCUGCUCCUGGCGCUUCUAGGAAAACCUGACCAACAAAAUCCCUGAGGCUUAACACACACCGUCCCUCUGCAGGGUGGGUUUCUCUGGUUGCCCCAGGGUCUACUGUGUGACUCCCAGAGCCCCUGGCAUCCGCGCAAGCUCCUCCCCAGAGGAAUCCCCGAGACCCGAGCUAUGGUCUUUUUCCCUGAAGAGACUGAUUUCCAAUAAACAUGCAUCUAGAAGCUUGCAUCUCAAAAUGAAAGCAGCAUUGGCCAGCAGCAUUGCCCCAACCUGGGAACUGAUUAGAAAUGCAGCCCCUGAACAAAGGCAUGAACUUGAUUGCAACCGUGUGGACAUGUACAGGCAGCAGUGAAAGCCUCAGCUGCAGGAGCUUGGGGCAUAGGAGACAGCCUAUGUUGAGGGGAAGGAUGAGGGGGUUCUGCAUUCGAUCUUGUUGCCAUGAUGAUGCCAAGAAUGCUGUGGAGUAUAACAAAGAAACAGAGUAUGGAUGAUGUUUCAAACAUGACUACAAGACUUUGAUCAACCAAAAGCAAAUAGACUCAGGCAAAACCAACAGUGUGGAUGGAGUUGCUCCUGAACCACCCAGCACAUAGACCUGGCAACAUCUUGUCCUGCAACGUCCCCACUUUCCGCAGAUGGUAGCUGAGAAAAUGGACAAAGUUUAAGAAAUGGGUUUCUGAUUCUUCACCUUCAAAAAUGGAAUUGAUGCCAUCCCAAGCUGGGCUGCAUUUUAUAGAGUAAUUCAUUUUCUUGUUUUAUUCAUUGCCUGAUAAUAUACGGAGAAGCCCUGCUGGGUAGCCCUCGUGAACAGCAAAGGACUUGGCAAGCAGUGAAUAUUGAGUGAAUCUGGAACACUUGCACGUUUCUUUUCUUUAUGUAGAAUUACACCAAUGAGCCAUGGGCUCUUGACAAACUCUGGGAGCUUUCUUUCACAGUGUGGGGAGUUGAACUGCAGUGUGUAUCAGAAUUUCAUGCACACUUACAUAGAGCUUAGAUGCCUUCUGUGAAACUGUGUCAAUUACCUUUGCUGAAAGGGGAGAAACAAAUUGUAGAAGAGGAUUUGACUUGGUCUGUGCACUGGUCACACUUUUCAUAAAUAAUUAUUGGCAAAAGAAUCUCAGUAGAAAUGGGUGCCUCCAGUAAUUAACCACAACUAUUCAAAGGCUCCCAUUCCCACAGCAGCAGGCAGGAUUUAGAAGAUCUAUAGGAAAGAUUUCUUAACACAGACAGUUAUUAAAGAUCAGAAUGAAUUAUUAAUCAGCCUUUGCUGGAAGUCUUUAGAAAGAGAAUGGGUUUUAAUUUGCCUGGAAUAUUUUCCUGGGAUUCUUCCCACAGCCGGGAUGGUGGCUAUGAUGCACUUAAGCACACUCAGAGCCCUCAGAUGUUGGAGUUUACUUAUGAAACUGAACUGGCAGGAAGGCUAUGGGUAAAUACAUAGGAAAUAUAAAAGGAAGGCAAUGAAGCAUCUCAGUAGCCAUGUGUGUUUGGUUGGGAGGGUAUGACUUGGGGAAAGACUGAAGAAAGAGAUCAUUAAUGCAUUCCCUGUAAUAUCGUCAACCGUGGAUGUUGCAAACUUUUCCUCUCCAUGGAAAGAAUGAAGAAAAGAGGGAAGAGGAAAAUAGGAAGGGAGAAGAAAUGAACAUAGAAAGGAGGAGGGAAGAAGGAAAGGCAGAUGGAAAGACAGAAGCUAAAAUUUACUGAGGUUUGACUGUGUAGCCAAUGUAGUCAGCAUUUAUUACAUCUUGUGGGCCAUGCCUUUGGAUCAUUGUCUCAGUUGCACAGAUAAGGAGACAUUUACCCUGCAUAUGAGAGGUCGGAGCCCAUUUCCUCUCCAUAGCACCCAUGGCUACUCCCUUCCAUGUGCAAAAAUGCCUCUGCUCCUCAGUUCAUGAAGAUGAGAACCAUGCCAUGUGUCUGGUGCUCCGUCUCAAUCCAGCUGUCUCCUGCUCUGUUUCUCUGUCCUCACUGUUGAGGCAAUGGCUCUGCUGGGCUUCCUUUAUCUCCCUUCUGCACCUCCUACCUCCCUCCCAUGUUCCUUUUUUAUCUUCAUUCAUUACUUCACUUUCAUCAACUGCUCUCUUCUCUCUUUUCUUAAAUAGCUUUUCCCAUGGAAUGCAUUUAUUUUUCCCCACAAAAG
rnacentral:lncRNA from 10 species